AGUAGCCGCGCCUCACCCUAGGCCAGGUUUACUUAGAGUCAUUGAGAGUUAUAUGCCUUCGGGCCACCUGACAGAGUGAAGCAUACUGCUUUCUGACUAGUAUUAAGACUUGUUAAUGUAGACUGCUUGUCCAAAAACCACCCUGCUGGAACAUGCUAGUUUACCAUGGCAAAGCUCUGUUUUGGGAAUAACGCCUUGCUGGAGACCUUUGAGAUUUGAAAUUUGGAAUGGAAAGGGCUCAAGAGAUUAUUAUUAAAAUAGAAUGGUUUUAGGGAAGACUGUUGCCGGAUGACAAGGCUGUCACUAUUGUUCUGUACUACCUGACAUUAUGGGACCAGGCCAGCCAGCUUCAACCUGUGUUCAUCUAGCACCUAGGACCCAACUUGAUGGGAGGAGCGACCCCAAAGUACUUCAGACCCAGAACCAGCUGCAGUUUAAUAGGAAUGUUCCUACACAUUCAAGCAACUUGGCGAUCCGAUAUUCUUGCCCACAUGCCAUUAGAAUUGAAAAACUGAAGCACUCAUACAAUGAAUCAUACCAUUGUAAAGAUGCAGAUUGUAGAGUUGGUCCUGACCUGGGCAGUUCUGUUU
rnacentral:lncRNA from 1 species